rnacentral:tRNA from 1 species
UGGGUUGUGGCUCAACGGUAGAGCACUCAUCUCACACGUGCGGGACACUGGGUUUGAUCCUCAGCACCACAU